rnacentral:rRNA from 1 species
GAGCACGUAGGUGGGUUUGUAAGUCAGAUGUGAAAGCCUUCUGUUCAACGGAAGAAUUGCAUCUGAAACUGCGAGUCUUGAGUGUAGGAGGGGAGAAUAGAACUUCUGGUGGAGCGGUGAAAUGCGUAGAUAUCAGAAGGAACUCCGGCGGCGAAAGCGAUUCUCUGGCCUAUUACUGACACUCAGUGUGCGAAAGCUAGGGGAGCAAACGGGAUUAGAUACCCCGGUAGUCCUAGCCGUAAACGAUGGGCACUAAGUAGAGGGGUUUU